CAGCAGCCGCGGGAAUACGUAGGGUGCAAGCGUUAAUCGGAAUUACUGGGCGUAAAGCGUGCGCAGGCGGUUAUGUAAGACAGGUGUGAAAUCCCCGGGCUUAACCUGGGAAUGGCAUUUGUGACUGCAUAGCUAGAGUGUGUCAGAGGGGGGUAGAAUUCCACGUGUAGCAGUGAAAUGCGUAGAGAUGUGGAGGAAUACCGAUGGCGAAGGCAGCCCCCUGGGAUAACACUGACGCUCAUGCACGAAAGCGUGGGGAGCAAACAGGAUUAGAUACCCCAGUAGUCCCUGUCUCUUAUAC
rnacentral:rRNA from 1 species